rnacentral:misc_RNA from 1 species
UGGGUUUGACAUGUAGGGAAAACCCGUGAAAGCGGGUGCUCUUCGGAGCCUGCACAGGUGGUGCAUGGCUGUCGUCAGCUCGUGCCGUGAGGUGUUGCCUUAAGUGGCGCAACGAGCGCAACCCCUGUCCUUAGUUGCCAGCGGGUCAUGCCGGGAACUCUAGGGAGACUGCCGGUGCCAAACCGGAGGAAGGUGGGGAUGACGUAAGCCUAUCGAGA